AGCAGCCGCGGUAAUUCCAGCUCCAAUAGCGUAUAUUAAAGUUGUUGCAGUUAAAAAGCUCGUAGUUGAAUUUCGGGAUCAAGGAAUCGGUCAUGCCUCGGUAUGUACUGGUUUUAUUGGUUCUCACCUUCUAAAGAACCAUGAUGUCAUUCAUUUGAUGUUAUGGGGAAUUAGGACUGUUACCUUGAAAAAAUUAGAGUGUUUAAAGCAGGCUUACGCUUGAAUACAUUAGCAUGGAAUAAUGAAAUAGGACAUCAGAUUCUAUUUUGUUGGUUUCUAGGAUCGAUGUAAUGAUUAAUAGGGAUAGUUGGGGGCAUUAGUAUUCAAUUGUCAGAGGUGAAAUUCUUGGAUUUAUUGAAGACUAACUACUGCGAAAGCAUUUGCCAAGGAUGUUUUCAUUAAUCAAGAACGAAAGUUAGGGGAUCGAAGACGAUCAGAUACCGUCGUAGUCUUAACCAUAAACUAUGCCGACUAGGGAUCGGAUGAUGUUUAUCUUUUAGUGACUCAUUCGGCACCUUAC
rnacentral:rRNA from 1 species